rnacentral:rRNA from 1 species
CUACGGGGUGCAGCAGUGGGGAAUAUUGCACAAUGGGGGAAACCCUGAUGCAGCAACGCCGCGUGGAGGAUGACGCAUUUCGGUGUGUAAACUCCUUUUAUCAAGGAAGAAAUUUGACGGUACUUGAUGAAUAAGCACCGGCUAACUCCGUGCCAGUCAGCCGCGGUAAUACGGAGGGUGCAAGCGUUACUCGGAAUCACUGGGCGUAAAGGACGCGUAGGCGGUUUGAUAAGUUGGAUGUGAAAUCCUAUGGCUUAACCAUAGAACUGCAUCCAAAACUGUCAGACUAGAGUGAGGGAGAGGUGAAUGGAAUUAGUGGUGUAGGGGUAAAAUCCGUAGAGAUCACUAGGAAUACUCAUAGCGAAGGCGAUUCACUGGAACUUUACUGACGCUGAGGCGUGAAAGCAUGGGGAGCAAACAGGAUUAGAUACCCUCGUAGUC